rnacentral:tRNA from 1 species
CCUCUCGUAGGUUAGUGGUUAGAGCAUUGGCGCAUAAUGCCAAAGGUCCCGGGUUCGAUUCCCGACGAAAGUG